AUACAAAAGCCCGUCAAUAGGCCCGUAACCAAAGGCCCAACCUGGAAGCCCAUGAAAAAAAGACUGCCCUUGUUAGCAUUUACUAGCCCGUUUGCAAUAGACACGCCGCAAUGUGAAAGCCAGACUUUGAAGCCCAUGAAAAAUGAACCAACCCAUUUAACCUCAUCAAGGGUUCAAGAUUUUUUUUGUCGUAGCUACAGAAAGGUGGGAAAUUUGCAGAGGAAGAACAUUGCAUCUCCGAGCUCUGCAGCAAUGUCUUUAAUGGAGAAAGCCAUGAAACAAUCUGCUCUACGUUUUUUGAUUCCAAUUCCUUAUUCCGUUUAUCCACGACAGUUCAGCGUUAGACCCUCUGCAAUUUCAACGAACGCCGCGAACCAGACGAAGAUGGUAAAUGGUGGAGCCCUAAUUCUUUGUUGCUACGAUUCCAGCGGCAAUGCUUCGUCGUCUUGGUCUUCGAAGCCUGCGGUCCCAGCCACCAUAACCACAGCUCCACCGGUCAUCAAGAGAAGGAAGAGGUACCGGAAGCAGUACCCUGGAGAGAGCGAAGGCAUUACUGAGGAGAUGAGAUUCAUCGCCAUGAGACUCCGCAACAUUAAUGGCAAGAAGCAUACGCAUAAUAAACGUGAGGAUGAUAAAGACGAAGACGACGACAAAGAAGACAAUGUUACCCAAGAAGAUUCAACUUCCAAUGAAUUUCAGGAAGGAGGAAAAGGAAAAUCAAAUUCAGAUGGAGAUGAAGACGAUUGUGAUGAUGGUGGGUCCAAAACUUGGCAGCCGAGCAUGGAAGGUUUCCUCAAGUACUUGGUUGAUAGCGAGGUCGUCUUCAACACCGUGGAGCGCAUUGUCGAUGAUUCCAACGACGUCGCUUAUGCUUACUUCAGGAAAACAGGGUUGGAACGAUCGAAUAGGCUUUCGAGAGAUAUAGAAUGGUUUAGGGAAAAGGGAAUGGAGAUUCCAGAGCCUAGUAGUCCAGGAGUUUCAUAUGCCAAGUAUCUGGAGGAACUUGCAGAGAAGAGUGCCCCGCAGUUUCUGUGCCAUUUCUACAAUAUAUAUUUCUCACAUGUAGCAGGAGGCCAGGUCAUAACAAGGCAGGUCUCAGAUAAGCUUCUUGAUGGAAGGGAGCUGGAAUUUAAUAGGUGGGAUGGGGAUGUAGAAGAGUUGAUGAAAGGUUUACGUGAAAAGCUCAACAUGCUUGGAGAGGUUUAAUCCCUUCCCUUCCAUUCCCUGAGGCUGUUUACUGUUAUGGAUGCUUGCUUUUAAGCAUUUGGGGUCAUUUCUGGAUAUUUACUUAAUCCGUAAAAAUUUGUGAUGCAAUCAAAUACAGCAUUGGUCUCGGGAUGAGAAAAACAAAUGCUUGAGAGAAGCUACCAAGUCAUUCCGGUUUUUGGGGCAGAUAGUCCGCUUGAUCAUCUUGUGAAGCAAAAUUCAUUGUUGUGGCUCGGCUUCAUGGUAUGAAAACUGAGACACAUGACUUCUUCAUCACCUCCUUGGGAUUGUUACCAUCAGCUUCUCCUUCUUCUUACAGUUCAAAUUGGAGUUUUGUUUUUCGUUGAUGGCCCAUUUCUUGACUUGGUACUGAUAGUCUCCAAACCAAAAGACUGAAGCACGAGUGGUUGUACAUCAUCGUCCCCACUUACAUUAAGAGCUGGUGAUGAGGGUUUGAAAUUGAACGCUGUGCUAACAAGUAAUAAAACUAUGGAUUUAGAUAUUUGAGAUUCUGAAUUUAGAAUGUAUCUACAUGAAAUGGAACGCAGUUAUUAUUUGGUCCAUGUAGUUUUGUUUCUUUUAUCCAUGAAUGCGGAUACAAUUAUACUA